UCAGCCCUGCACGUAAGAAGUAGCAGGAACACAUCAGAUGCCUUCUGAUUGAGUCUUGUCACCCUAAAGGGGGCCUCUCUUCUAAAGCAGCAGUUGAUUCCUGGAUAAGACCCCAGAACAUGGUCCGUGGGAAGCUCGACUUCCAUCCCUCCAUGCUUCUGCCUGCAUAAGCAAGAACUCUCUUUCCACCGUGUUUUAUAUAACAUCAUGGGAAACAACAGAGGCAUUUUUAUGGCACUGGAGAAAAUAUAAAUGCCACUUCAUUUAGCAGAGAGAAAUAAAUAUGCUUAGUUCCCCCCACCCCCGCUGGACUAUUUCCUUGAUCUUUCUGACUGCAGAACAUGGAACAUUGUUGAGGAAUUAUAAGCAGUGUGUGAAUCUGUCUGUGGAAAUGCCUUCUUACCCAGGCCCUGAGCCCUGGUAGUGAUUUAAUACCUGAACAUGCCCCAUGCACCUGCCUUGGUGAACAUCGGUGGUCCCCAGUUGAGUGCCCACAGAGCCGCUAAAUGGCCAAGCCAGACCCAGACUCAGCCCCCCAACCCCUGUGCCCACGCCCAGAGAUUGACAAGAUACCCGAGAGUUUGUCAACUGAGCUCGAGGACAAAUAUUUUCAGUGGCUGUUUACAGCAUAACUGCUUUGGACGGACUGGGAGACUGAGUAAUGUUCCUCCGAAGAUCUUUAUGUUCUGAUGCCCGGAGCAUGUGCCUCGGCUACCUUUCAAGAUGUGAUGGAAA